GGUGCAGGAGUUGGCGGAACACGGCGGCACCCAGCUUCUCAUGCAGGGAGGCUUGCAUCCCGAGCUCAAGAUUGACUGGUUCGAGACCCUUUUCCGCCG
rnacentral:tRNA from 1 species